rnacentral:rRNA from 1 species
CCUACGGGUGGCAGCAGUGAGGAAUAUUGGUCAAUGGGCGCGAGCCUGAACCAGCCAAGUCGCGUGAAGGAUGACUGCCCUACGGGUUGUAAACUUCUUUUAUAAGGGAAUAAAGUCAGGCACGCGUGCCUUUCUGUAUGUACCUUACGAAUAAGGAUCGGCUAACUCCGUGCCAGCAGCCGCGGUAAUACGGAGGAUCCGAGCGUUAUCCGGAUUUAUUGGGUUUAAAGGGUGCGUAGGUGGGUUGUUAAGUCAGUUGUGAAAGUUCGCGGCUCAACCGCGGAAUUGCAGUUGAUACUGGCAGUCUUGAGUAGAGUUGAGGUAGGCGGAAUGCGUGGUGUAGCGGUGAAAUGCUUAGAUAUCACGCAGAACUCCGAUUGCGAAGGCAGCUUACUAACCUGCCACUGACGUUGAGGCACGAAAGUGUGGGGAUCAAACAGGAUUAGAUACCCUGGUAGUC